AACAAUAAAACCCCAAACGCAAGAUGCCAUUGUGGAAGAGUAUCUGUGAGAAGAUGCCAGUCCUCUGAAGAAAGCAAAGGGGGAUGGAAGUUGGAUAACACUGCAGUGGCAAUUGCAAUGGGAGAAGACUGCACGAGAAGAAUGAGUUUGAGAGCUGCAGCAGUCAUAAGUGGCUUGAGAAGAUUAGCCAGAGUUUGAAGCAGAUGGAGGGUUCUAGAAACCAGAGGUGUUCUUUUUAUUGGUGUGAGUCUCGAAUAGGAAGUAGAGAUCAGAGAUCUACAAUAGCAGGCUGCCAUGGAUAAUGCA